UACGUAGGUGGCAAGCGUUGUCCGGAAUUAUUGGGCGUAAAGCGCGCGCAGGCGGUUCUUUAAGUCUGAUGUGAAAGCCCACGGCUCAACCGUGGAGGGUCAUUGGAAACUGGGGAACUUGAGUACAGAAGAGGAAAGCGGAAUUCCACGUGUAGCGGUGAAAUGCGUAGAGAUGUGGAGGAACACCAGUGGCGAAGGCGGCUUUCUG
rnacentral:rRNA from 1 species